rnacentral:rRNA from 1 species
UGCCAGCAGCCGCGGUGAUACGUAGGGUGCGAGCGUUGUCCGGAAUUAUUGGGCGUAAAGAGCUUGUAGGCGGUCUGUUGCGUCGGAAGUGAAAACUCAGGGCUUAACCCUGAGCCUGCUUUCGAUACGGGCAGACUUGAGGGAUGUAGGGGAGAACGGAAUUCCUGGUGGAGCGGUGGAAUGCGCAGAUAUCAGGAGGAACACCAGUGGCGAAGGCGGUUCUCUGGACAUUUCCUGACGCUGAGAAGCGAAAGCGUGGGGAGCAAACAGGCUUAGAUACCCUGGUAGUCCACGCCGUAAACGGUGGGCACUAGGUGUGGGUUCCAUUCCACGGAAUCCGUGCCGAAGCUAACGCAUUAAGUGCCC